rnacentral:rRNA from 1 species
CCUGGCGGCCGUAGCGCGGUGGUCCCACCUGACCCCAUGCCGAACUCAGAAGUGAAACGCCGUAGCGCCGAUGGUAGUGUGGGGUUUCCCCAUGUGAGAGUAGGGAACCGCCAGGU